ensembl:misc_RNA 7SK 7SK RNA
GGAUGUGAGGGCGAUCUGGCUGCGACAUCUGUCACCCCACUGAUCGCCAGGGUUGAUCCGGCUGAUCUGGCUGGCUAGGCAGGUGUCCCCUUCCUCCCUCACCGCUCCAUGUGCGUCCCUCCCGAAGCUGCAGGCUGGGUGGAAGAGGACGACCUUCCCCGAUAGAGGAGGACCGUUCUUCGGUCAAGGGUAUAUGAGCAGCUGCAGUCCCCUGCUAGAACCUUCAAACAAGUUCUCAAGGUCCAGAUGAAGGCUUAAGGGAAUAAAUGAGUGAACAAACGAACCCCGAGAACGGCAUCUCCCUCUGAGCGGGGCCUGUGCUGUU